rnacentral:rRNA from 1 species
UCCCGGCGGUCCGAGUGGGACUCACUUUUAUUGGGUCUAAAACAUCCGUAGCUGGCUUUGUAAGUCUUGUGUUAAAUUGUUGGGCUUAACCCAACAGCCGCAUAAGAUACUGCAUAGCUAGAGACUGGGAGACGUAGCGAGUACGGCCGAGGUAGCGGUAAAAUGUGUUAAUCUCGGCUGGACUAACAACGGCGAAGGCACGCUACGAGCACAGCUCUGACGGUGAGGGAUGAAGGCCAAGGGCGCAAAUUGG